GUAGAGUCUUCUUUCCCCAAAGCUUCCUCCCCUCCCCCACUGCUUUCAGAGUAGAUUAACUAAUUACUUCCAAUUAAAGCCGGUAGAUCUCUGUACCUCCUGGGCUUCAACACUGCCCCUAGGAGUCUCCCUAGGCUGCCUGGGUCUGAAAGGGACCUGGCCACUUAGGGGGAUCAGUGAAUCAGUUAAGUAAUGCAGGGGGCCACAAAGGAAGCCCACUGGGUCAUGUGCUUGACGGGGAGGGCUGCAGACAAGCCUGGCCCUCUGGCUGCAGCAUGGAAGUGUGGCCCUGCUUCAGGCCCUAAUGGGCCCGGGAAGGUCAGGAGCUGCCGUCUUUGGAGGAAUGGUGUUUGUGUUGGCAUCCAUGGGCCCUGUAGCCCUGCCAACUCUCACAGCAUGUGACACUGUCAGGAGACUGGAGGUGUGAGGCAGAAGUCAGCUGGAGAGGCUCCUGCGGCCGGCCGGCCGCCUGCUUCCAGGCGCUGCUUCACUCCUUGGAUGCACUUGCCCUAAAGGUUGACCGAUAGCUGCUGAUGCAAGCGCCAGAGAUCUUGUCCUGAGGUGAUGUGCUCGGAGGCUGCAGAGAACCCGUCUGUCUGUCUAGGUCCGUCUUUAAGAUUAAGGAAACUUUCCCCAGAAGUGUUCCCAGAACCUGCUUCUGGGUCUCAUCGGCCAAAGUUCAGCCACACACUCAUUCCUGUAACUCCUAGUCGGGGUAACGUAGGCUCUUUGCCUAGCAGGUAUCAUGGUGCACACCUGGAAUCCCAGAAUUCAGGAGGCAGAGGAAAGAGGAUUGCUAGCUCAAGGCCAGCCUGGGCUACAGCGAGACGCCUCCUAAAACAAAAACAAGCCAGGUGGUGGAGAGGUAGCUUGGUGGGUAAAUUGCUGGCCUUGCAACUGGUGAAGACUCGUGCAUGAUCCUCAGAAACCACACAAAAAGCCAUUAUCAUCCCAGCACUGGAGAUGGGGACAUGCAAGCCCUCUGGUUUUCUGGCUAGUCAGUCUACCUGAAUCAGCGGCAAGCCCCACAUCCCAAUAAUGUCCCCAAACACAAGGAAGACGGUGUCUGAGGGACAACACCUGAGGCUGACUUGUAUCCUCUACACGCAUGCACGUAUGCUUGCACAUAUACAUGCAUUCACAGGACAUGCACUCACACAUGUACAUGCAGCAUACACGCACACAUGCAUGCACAAGUGUGUGCACACACUCAAACUAACCAAAACCGAUGCUUUUAACUUAUGAAAACCGGUACAUUGUCAUGCAUCUUACAGGUGUCUUCCUCUGAUCUCUGAUUUUAUCUUUUGAUUUUUAUUUAUAAUGUUUUUCCUUGUAAUUUCUUUGUGGGUGCAUGUAUUAAUUACUUCUGUUAUGACUUCUGUUUGUCCUGUGUCUAGGAAACUUGAUACCCGGGGAUCACACAAUCAUUUUCACAAACAUUUUUAGAAACGUGUGUGUGUGUGUGUGUGUGUGUGUCUGAGUGUGUGUGUGUGUGAGUGUGUGUGUGAGUGAGUGAGAGUAUGUGAGUGUGUGUGUGUGAGUGUGUGUGAGUGAGUGAGUGUGUGUGAGUGUGUGAGUGAGUGAGAGUAUGUGAGUGUGUGUGUGAGUGUGUGUGAGUGAGUGAGUGUGUGUGAGUGUGUGUGUGUGAGUGUGUGUAUGAGUGAGUGUGUGUGAGUAUGUGUGUGAGUGAGUGAGAGUAUGUGAGUGUGUGUGUGAGUGAGUGUGUGUGAGUGAGUGAGUGUGUGAGUGAGUGAGAGUAUGUGAGUGUGUGUGUGAGUGUGUGUGAGUGAGUGUGUGUGUGAGUGUGUAUGUGUGAGUGAGUGAGAGUGUGUGUGUGUGUGUGUGCGCGCGCACUUGCCUGUCUGUAUGUACACUGUGUGCAUGCUAUACCUUUGCAGGCCCAAAGAGGGUGCUGGGUUAUCUGGAAUUGGGGUUGUGAGUUCUUAGGAGCUUCCAUGUGGGUGCUGGGAACUGAGCCUCAGCACAGAGCAGCUGGUGCUCUUUUUNNNNNNNNNNNNNNNNNNNNNNNAGCUGUCUUCAGACACACCAGAAGAGGGCAUCAGAUCUCGUUACGGAUGGUUGUGAGCCACCAUGUGGUUGCUGGGAUUUGAACUCCAGACCUUUGGAAGAGCAGUCUGCGCUCCUAACUGCUGAGCCAUCUCACCAGCCCCCAGCUGGUGCUCUUAACUGCUGAGCCAGAUCCCUUGACUUGUGUAUAAGUUGAUAUUUUUGUUUUUUUGGUUUUUUUUUUUUUGUACUUUUAUGGUUUUAUUUUUCCAGUGUUUUCUUCAGUUCUUCGAUCCUGAUGGAAUUUAUUUCCAUGCUAAGAGUGAGCUGAUCCUGUGCGGACUCUGGGCUCCAGCCAUUUUAAUUACUCUUGCUGUGCAGUGUUCUGCAGAAUGUCUGCCAGACCUACCCUUCCGUGCUUAGUGUGCUUUGCUUUUCUCUGGAAUUUUUCUGUCUAUUCUUUUAUAUAUGUCCCCCCACCCCCAAUUAAAAUUGUCAUCAUCCC
ensembl:lincRNA